rnacentral:rRNA from 1 species
UUUUAGAGUCCGAGUUGUAAUUUUGAGAACUGUUUUCUGUGCUGGACCAUUUCUAAGUCUGUUGAAAAGCAGCAUCAUUGAGGGUGAUAAUCCCGUUCAUGAUAUGGACUCCCAGUGCUCUAUGAUACAGUCUCUAAGAGUCGAGUUGUUUGGGAAUGCAGCUCAAAGUGGGUGGUAAAUUCCAUCUAAGGCUAAAUAUAGGUGAGAGACCGAUAGCAAACAAGUACCGUGAGGGAAAGAUGAAAAGAACUUUGGAAAGAGAGUUAACAGUACGUGAAAUUGCUAAAAGGGAAACGAUUGAAGUUAGCCUUGUUAUUGUUAGUUCAGCCCUUUUAGGGUGUAUUCUAAUGAUUAACGACCAACAUCAGUCUUUGGGUAUUGGAUAAGGGUUCUGGAAAUGUAGCAGCCUUGGCUGUGUUAUAGUCCAUUACUUUGAUACAAUGCCUAGGACUGAGGAUCGCAGUAAGCCAUUUAUUUGGUUGAUCAAUUUAUUGGUCUUCUUACUGAGGAUGUUGGUGAAAUAGCUUCAACCGACCCGUCUGAAAACCCGGGACCA